rnacentral:rRNA from 1 species
AGGGUGCACAUCAGUCGACGGUACACGAGAGCUUGCUCUCGGGUGACGAGCGGCGGACGGGUGAGUAAUGUCUGGGAAACUGCCUGAUGGAGGGGGAUAACUACUGGAAACGGUAGCUAAUACCGCAUAACGUCGCAAGACCAAAGUGGGGGACCUUCGGGCCUCAUGCCAUCAGAUGUGCCCAGAUGGGAUUAGCUAGUAGGUGGGGUAACGGCUCACCUAGGCGACGAUCCCUAGCUGGUCUGAGAGGAUGACCAGCCACACUGGAACUGAGACACGGUCCAGACUCCUACGGGAGGCAGCAGUGGGGAAUAUUGCACAAUGGGCGCAAGCCUGAUGCAGCCAUGCCGCGUGUGUGAAGAAGGCCUUCGGGUUGUAAAGCACUUUCAGCGGGGAGGAAGGCGUUAAGGUUAAUAACCUUGGCGAUUGACGUUACCCGCAGAAGAAGCACCGGCUAACUCCGUGCCAGCAGCCGCGGUAAUACGGAGGGUGCAAGCGUUAAUCGGAAUUACUGGGCGUAAAGCGCACGCAGGCGGUCUGUCAAGUCGGAUGUGAAAUCCCCGGGCUCAACCUGGGAACUGCAUUCGAAACUGGCAGGCUAGAGUCUUGUAGAGGGGGGUAGAAUUCCAGGUGUAGCGGUGAAAUGCGUAGAGAUCUGGAGGAAUACCGGUGGCGAAGGCGGCCCCCUGGACAAAGACUGACGCUCAGGUGCGAAAGCGUGGGGAGCAAACAGGAUUAGAUACCCUGGUAGUCCACGCCGUAAACGAUGUCGAUUUGGAGGUUGUGCCCUUGAGGCGUGGCUUCCGGAGCUAACGCGUUAAAUCGACCGCCUGGGGAGUACGGCCGCAAGGUUAAAACUCAAAUGAAUUGACGGGGGCCCGCACAAGCGGUGGAGCAUGUGGUUUAAUUCGAUGCAACGCGAAGAACCUUACCUGGUCUUGACAUCCACAGAACUUUCCAGAGAUGGAUUGGUGCCUUCGGGAACUGUGAGACAGGUGCUGCAUGGCUGUCGUCAGCUCGUGUUGUGAAAUGUUGGGUUAAGUCCCGCAACGAGCGCAACCCUUAUCCUUUGUUGCCAGCGGUCCGGCCGGGAACUCAAAGGAGACUGCCAGUGAUAAACUGGAGGAAGGUGGGGAUGACGUCAAGUCAUCAUGGCCCUUACGACCAGGGCUACACACGUGCUACAAUGGCAUAUACAAAGAGAAGCGACCUCGCGAGAGCAAGCGGACCUCAUAAAGUAUGUCGUAGUCCGGAUUGGAGUCUGCAACUCGACUCCAUGAAGUCGGAAUCGCUAGUAAUCGUAGAUCAGAAUGCUACGGUGAAUACGUUCCCGGGCCUUGUACACACCGCCCGUCACACCAUGGGAGUGGGUUGCAAAAGAAGUAGGUAGCUACCACUCGGAGGGCGCUCACGCGGCGCAANNNNNAAAAUCCC